rnacentral:rRNA from 1 species
CUACGGGUGGCUGCAGUGAGGAAUAUUGCACAAUGGGGGGAACCCUGAUGCAGCAACGCCGCGUGGAGGAUGACGCAUUUCGGUGUGUAAACUCCUUUUAUAUGUCAAGAAAAUGACGGUAGCAUAUGAAUAAGCACCGGCUAACUCCGUGCCAGCAGCCGCGGUAAUACGGAGGGUGCAAGCGUUACUCGGAAUCACUGGGCGUAAAGGACGCGUAGGCGGGUUGGAAAGUCAGGUGUGAAAUCCUACAGCUUAACUGUAGAACUGCACUUGAAACUACGAGCCUAGAGUAUGGGAGGGGCAGAUGGAAUUAGUGGUGUAGGGGUAAAAUCCGUAGAUAUCACUAGGAAUACCUAAAGCGAAGGCGAUCUCCUGGAACAUUACUGACGCUAAGGCGUGAAAGCGUGGGGAGCAAACAGGAUUAGAUACCCCCGUAGUC